GGAUCAAAGAUCACCCCCUCAACAGUGCAUUCCUUGGAAAAGUUGAGCAAAAUGAGUGAGAACUCCAACUGUUGUUCUCAUCAGAUCUGUUAUGC